GAUGAACGCUGGCGGCGUGCCUAAUACAUGCAAGUCGAGCGAACGGACGAGAAGCUUGCUUCUCUGAUGUUAGCGGCGGACGGGUGAGUAACACGUGGAUAACCUACCUAUAAGACUGGGAUAACUUCGGGAAACCGUAGCUAAUACCGGCUAAUAUUUUGAACCGCAUGGUUCAAAAGUGAAAGACGGUCUUGCUGUCACUUAUAGAUGGAUCCGCGCUGCAUUAGCUAGUUGGUAAGGUAACGGCUUACCAAGGCAACGAUGCAUAGCCGGCCUGAGAGGGUGAUCGGCCCCACUGGAACUGAGACACGGUCCAGACUCCUACGGGAGGCAGCAGUAGGGCAUCUUCCGCCAUGGGCGAAAGCCUGACGGAGCAACGCCGCGUGAGUGAUGAAGGUCCUCGGAUCGUAAAACUCUGUUAUUAGGGAAGAACAUAUGUGUAAGUAACUGUGCACAUCUUGACGGUACCUAAUUAGAAAGCCACGGCUAACUACGUG
rnacentral:rRNA from 1 species